AAGCACUAUAAGCGACUGCGAAUGGCUCAUUAUAUAAGUUAUCGUUUAUUUGAUAGUACCUUACUACUUGGAUAACCGUGGUAAUUCUAGAGCUAAUACAUGCUAAAAAUCCCGACUUCGGAAGGGAUGUAUUUAUUAGAUUAAAAACCAAUGCCCUCUGGGCUCCUUGGUGAUUCAUGAUAACUCUUCGAAUCGCACGGCCUUGCGCCGGCGAUGGUUCAUUCAAAUUUCUUCCCUAUCAACUUUCGAUGUUUGGGUAUUGGCCAAACAUGGUUGCAACGGGUAACGGAGGGUUAGGGCUCGACCCCGGAGAAGGAGCCUGAGAAACGGCUACUACAUCCAAGGAAGGCAGCAGGCGCGCAAAUUACCCAAUCCCGAUUCGGGGAGGUAGUGACAAUAAAUACUGAUACAGGGCUCUUUUGGGUCUUGUAAUUGGAAUGAGUACAAUUUAAAUCUCUUAACGAGGAACAAUUGGAGGGCAAGUCUGGUGCCAGCAGCCGCGGUAAUUCCAGCUCCAAUAGCGUAUAUUAAAGUUGUUGUGGUUAAAAAGCUCGUAGUUGAACCUUGGGCCUGGCUGGCCGGUCCGCCUCACCGCGUGCACUGGUCCGGCCGGGCCUUUCCCUCUGUGGAACCCCAUGCCCUUCACUGGGCGUGGCGGGGAAACAGGACGUUUACUUUGAAAAAAUUAGAGUGCUCCAGGCAGGCCUAUGCUCGAAUACAUUAGCAUGGAAUAAUGAAAUAGGACGCGUGGUUCUAUUUUGUUGGUUUCUAGGACCGCCGUAAUGAUUAAUAGGGACAGUCGGGGGCAUCAGUAUUCAAUUGUCAGAGGUGAAAUUCUUGGAUUUAUUGAAGACUAACUACUGCGAAAGCAUUUGCCAAGGAUGUUUUCAUUAAUCAGGAACGAAAGUUAGGGGAUCGAAGACGAUCAGAUACCGUCGUAGUCUUACCCUUAA
rnacentral:rRNA from 1 species